rnacentral:rRNA from 1 species
GACGAACCGGACAAACGUUAUUCGGAAUUACUGGGCUUAAAGGGUUUGUAGGCGGCCUUGUAAGUCAGGUGUGAAAUCCCUCGGCUCAACCGAGGAAUGGCGCUUGAUACUGCACGGCUUGAGGGAGACAGGGGUAAGCGGAACUGAUGGUGGAGCGGUGAAAUGCGUUGAUAUCAUCAGGAACACCGGUGGCGAAAGCGGCUUACUGGGUCUCUUCUGACGCUGAGGAACGAAAGCUAGGGGAGCGAACGGGAUUAGAUACCCCGGUAGUCCUAGCUGUAAACGAUGAGCACUUAUCUGGGGAUCCUCCCAUAGGUUCCCGGAUGAAGCGAAAGUGUUAAGUGCUCCGCCUGGGGAGUAUGGUCGCAAGGCUGAA